CAGAUUCUCGCCAGUGAUGGUGAGCCUUGUCCCUCCCUGCCGAGGGCCUGUCUCUGGGGACAGCUGCAGGAAGGUAGAGGCUGGGGCGGACACAGCAAGGUCUACCGUGCCAGGACUUCUCUUCUGGCUCCAUGGCCCUGCUCCCUCCUACCAAACUAUCUCCAGUAGCCAUGAAGAAGCCACAUCCAUCGCCAGCCUCCAGUGCUAUCCUCCAAGAUUACCUCAGACACCACUUCCAACACCAGGGCAGCCUUGGCUGAGAGCUGCAGUCAGCCAUCUGGGAAAGCAGGGCUAGCUGGGCCCAAGAGCAUCAGGAAAGCUCUGUGAAUAUCAGUCUUUGUCUGCUAAGCAGGUCAGGACUUCUGAGGUAUGAGGUAUUUAGGACCCCACAGUCUGAGCAUAGAUCAAAAGACCACUGAGAAAAGAUUGCUGCACCCACCUCUACCUAGGUUGGCCUGCACUUAGGGCAAGAGCUACAAGGGCUGGGCCUAAGCUUAGCUGCCUCUCACUUUCUGCAGCUGAUGACCUCAGCUCUGUCUUGUGUUCGGGCUGAGGCAGGCAGCUUGACGUCUCUGAGGGGCGGCUCAGCAAUUCAUCACUAUUUUAUCUGAAGGAAUUUAAUUGGAUCCUAUCAAAUUCCCUGAUACUCUCUCUUCCCUUUAAACACUGCUGAAGGGAAGAUAAAUGGGGGUCUACAGAGAAGGGGACAGCAGAGAUGAGGGGUGGAGAGACACAGGAAGCAGAAGCAAGAGAAAAGGGGUGAUAAGAGUCAGAGGGGGUGUGUGUGGGGGUACAGGUUAUGUGAGGAGACAGUAGAAGGAAGGGAGGUGACCAACAGCAUGGGAAAUGGGAGAGUGCAGCCUUCCCUGCUGGGCAGAGAGUUGUCCUUCCACUAACCUGCAGUCCACGCUACCCUGGCAGUAGACUUAACCCCAACCACUGCCCUGUUUGACCGCUAUCAGCUAAGGGCUGCUGGAACCAGGGGGUGGGGACAACUAAAGCCUUGUCAAUCGUUCUGUGUACACAUGCCCUGCCAAUCUGAUCAUAAACCUGUUCCAAAUAA